rnacentral:tRNA from 1 species
GCGGAUGUGGUGAAAUUGGUAGACACACCAGACUUAGGAUCUGGCGCCGCAAGGCAUGGGAGUUCGAGUCUCUUCAUCCGCACCA